CCUACGGGAGGCAGCAGUGGGGAAUAUUUGGCAAUGGAGGAAACUCUGACCCAGCAAUGCCGCGUGAAUGAAGAAGGUCUUCGGAUUGUAAAGUUCUUUAGUCAGGGAAGAAGUAAAUGACGGUACCUGAAGAAUAAGCUCUGGCUAACUACGUGCCAGCAGCCGCGGUAAUACGUAGGGAGCAAGCGUUUCUCGGAAUGACUGGGCGUAAAGGGUGCGUAGGCGGUUGUACAAGUUAUAAGGGAAAUACCCAGGGCUUAACUCGGGUGCUGCUUCUAAAACUGUAUGACUUGAGUGCGGGAGAAGUUAGUGGAAUUCCUAGUGUAGCGGUGGAAUGCGUAGAUAUUAGGAGGAACACCAGAGGCGAAGGCGGCUAACUGGACUGCAACUGACGCUGAGGCACGAAAGUGUGGGUAGCGAACAGGAUUAGAUACCCCUGUAGUC
rnacentral:rRNA from 1 species